AGCGAACGCUGGCGGCAGGCCUAACACAUGCAAGUCGAACGAAGUCUUCGGACUUAGUGGCGGACGGGUGAGUAACACGUGGGAACGUGCCCUUUGGUACGGAAUAACUCAGGGAAACUUGAGCUAAUACCGUAUGUGCCCUUCGGGGGAAAGAUUUAUCGCCAUUGGAGCGGCCCGCGUCUGAUUAGCUAGUUGGUGGUGUAAUGGGCCACCAAGGCUACGAUCAGUAGCUGGUCUGAGAGGAUGAUCAGCCACAUUGGGACUGAGACACGGCCCAAAUUCGUACGGGAGGCAGUAGUGGGGAAUCUUGCGCAAUGGGCGAAAGCCUGACGCAGCCAUGCCGCGUGAAUGAUGAAGGUCUUAGGAUUGUAAAAUUCUUUUACCAGGGACGAUAAUGACGGUACCUGGAGAAAAAGCCCCGGCUAACUUCGUGCCAGCCGCCGCUGUAAUAC
rnacentral:rRNA from 1 species